rnacentral:rRNA from 1 species
UACCGGCGGCUCGAGUGGUGGCCACUAUUACUGGGCUUAAAGCGUCCGUAGCUGGAUUGUUAAGUCUCUUGGGAAAUCUACCGGCUUAACCGAUAGGCGUUCAAGGGAUACUGGCAAUCUAGGGACCGGAAGAGGUGAGAGGUACUCCAGGGGUAGGAGUGAAAUCCUGUAAUCCUUGGGGGACCACCUGUGGCGAAGGCGUCUCACCAGAACGGCUCCGACAGUGAGGGACGAAAGCUGGGGGAGCAAACCG